CAUUGAGAUGAUGAUGCAUUGUUCCGAAAUUACAUGGUGUUGACUAAAAAUGUUCAGACUACAAUUAUCUGAUCAAUG
rfam:Morus notabilis contig4527, whole genome shotgun sequence.